AGUCUUGGAGUCUUGAAAGUCCCAGAUCACAGGCCCCACAUCUGGUGAGGACAUUUGUGCUGUGUCAUCCCAUGGCAGAAGGCAGGGGGCACGAGCGCAGGGGUAAGAGGAUGAGAGACAAGAGAGGGCUGAAAUGACUUUUGCAAUAAACCCACUCUCACGAUAAUGGACCCGUUUUCGCAAUAAUAAGACCCCCAAGAGCAAGGCUGGUGAAGCCACCGAAGUGGCUAUUGAUGCAGGCUUCCGUCACAUUGAUGCGGCGUUCUUCUACCAAAACGAGGAGGAGGUCGGAAAGGCCAUUCGAGAGAAGAUUGCUGAUGGCCCUGUGAAGAGAGAGGACAUUUUCUACACCACUGAGCUUUGGACAACUUUCUUUAGACCAGAAUUAGUUCGCCCAGCCCUGGAAGGGUCACUGAAGAAACUUCAACUGGACUAUGUCGAUCUCUUCAUUAUCCACAAUCCAUUGGCUAUGAAGCCUGGGGAGGAAUUGCUGCCUAAGGAUGCCAGUGGAAACAUUAUUUUUGAUACUGUGGAUCUUCGUGACACAUGGGAGGCCCUGGAGAAGUGCAAAGAAGCAGGUUUAACCAAGUCCAUCGGGGUGUCCAAUUUCAAUCACAAACUGCUGGAACUCAUCCUCAACAAGCCAGGGCUCAAGUACAAGCCCACCUGCAACCAGGAUGGACCCAGAUAGCCCAUAUCUCUUAGAGGAGCCAACCUUGAAAUCCAUUGCCAAGAAAUACAAUAGAAGCCCAGGCCAGGUUGCCCUGUGCUAUGAGCUGCAGCGGGGGGGUGGUGGUCCUGGCCAAGAGCUUCUCUGAGAAGAGAAUCAAAGAGAACUUCCAGGUUUUUGACUUUGAGUUGACUCCAGAGGACAUGAAAGCCACUGAUGGCCUCAACAGAAAUUUCCGAUAUGCUAAGUUACAAUUGUAAGUCAUGCUUGCAGAUUCUUUCACAGGCUGUUUUCUGUAAUAUGCAGGCAAACAGAGGAAUACAUCUUCCCUAAAUCAGGAAGGCAGGCCAGAUUUCAGGAAUAGGUAUGAAACAGGAGCUUCCCUAUAGUCCUCAUGUGGCUCAAUCUGUGACCCAACAGGAAUGUGAGUCAGUAAGUGAAACUGUUGACAUCUGCACCAUUGUGAAUGCACUUCUUCAAUUUUUUUUUUUUUUUUUCUGAGACAAAGUCUUGCUCUAUUGCCUAGGCUGGAGUGCAGUGACACGAUCUCGGCUCACCGCAACCUCUGCCUCCCGGGUUCAAGCAAUUCUCCUGCCUCAGCCUCCUGAGCAGCUGGGAUUAUAGGCGUUUGCCACCACGCCCAGCUAAUUUUUGUAUUUUUAGUAGAGACAGGGUUUCACCAUGUUGGCCAGUCUGGUCUCGAACUCCUGACCUCGUGAUCUGCCCACCUCGGCCUCCCAAAGUGCUGGAAUUACAGGCAUGAGCCACUGUGCCCCGCCAUGAAUGCACUUCUUUAGUGCCCUUACUACCUGUGCCCGGUCCUGCACGCAGGGCCACUGCCUAUUAGAAUAGAAGGCACGGUGUCUAUGACCCAUCAUACUUAUAGGAGCCCAUGAUAAUGUUCUAGCUUUAAUUUAUUUUAAAGUCAGAAGAAAAAGAGAAUACAACAAUGAUGAAUAUGUAAUAAUGAAUCCAGCCUCGUCUAUCUUCAUGUCUAUACCAAGGCAAUGUAAGACUUAAUUUUAAUAUUUGUAUAGAGCAUUGGUCCAUGAAAGCAAAUGUGCAUAUGUCCUAGGGAAGUCACAGUGGGCCCUGCUUCCAUGGCCUCCCCUAAGUGUCCAGUGACAUUUCUCCUUACUGUGGCAUUCCUUUUCCGAGACACCAACUAUUUCUUCCAAAUUUUUGUCUUCCUUGGCUUUCUUUACCUUCACAACUCCCAUUUCCUCAGCUAUAUAAUCUCACUAAGCUGAAUGACAAAUGAAUUAUGAAAUUAAUAGACCCUCAGUGCUAGUGACUGAGGUGUCCCCAGUGGCCUCCACCAAGUUAAGAUCCUCUGGAAUUUCUCCGGAUCUUCGAGGCAAGACUCUUACUCCAGUGUCAUCUUCGUCCAUCUGAAGCCCACCUCUAAGGAACCCAACAUAACUUCACUUUAGUUUAUUCACAAACAUGACGUUCCAUUGGAUCAACUGUGGCAGGAUCUCAGGGUUGAGGAGAAAGAUGACUAAUCAAACAGAGCCAAGUUUGGAGGGGAGUUUAGAAACAGGGCGAAAUAUCAUUUUAGUUAGGAAAAUACUCAGUCUCCAAAACACAUCUGAAAGGUCCCCCUUCUUUUUGUAAAACCAUACCAGGCUUCCAAGAAAAGACAUUUUCAAUGAGAAAAAUGUGAAAGCAACCUUUCUAUACUCACAGGCCUUAAGUAUAAUCUGUGAUCUGCCUCAUGAGACUGUGAAUGUCUCCUCUUACUCAUCUCUGUGGCCCUAUGUUAAUACAGCUCCUGGUGCAUUUAACUGCUUAGAAAGUACUCUUUAAUGACACUCAAUUAAAAAGAACGAAUUAUAAAAAAGAAAGCCCUUUUUGCCAUUAAGGUAACAUAUUUUCAGGUUCCAGAGAUAAGGGCAUGUAUGUCUUUGGGGGCCAUUACUGAGCCUACUACACUAGUUUUGUAAGUAAAUUUAGAGCAACUAAACUUUAGUUUUCUAAUUUUUGUAAUAGAAAGAAUUCUAUGUCCAGCCACUGGAUCCUGAAACUCUAGACUUUUAUCUCAGAUAUCAAGAGGAAAACCACAUGAAUAAAUACCUGUUUCUUUAAAGCUGAUGUAAUCUUGACCCUAUUGUAUUUCCUCCUUCUGGAUACAUGCCCUUCAUUAUUUUAUUCUAAAAUUUAUUCUCAGGAUCUGUUGACAUUGUCUUUUGUUGUUCAUAUGGAAAACUCAAGCUUUUCAGUUUGCCAACAUUCUCAACUCUUCAGAAUUUCUACUGAUGUCUAGAUUAUACUUCAGGCAAUGGAUCCCAUGUUUACUACUUAAACGUGCUUCAUCUAUGAAACCUUCAGUUGGACACAUCUUAUAUUAAUGAAGUCUCUUAACUCUGCAGUUUCUACUAUACCUUGAUUUAUCAAGUUCUUGAUUCAUCAAGAGUUGUCAUUAGGUCUCUCUUCUUUCCUCUUUGCAUUCUUUCAAUACCCAUAGAAGUUUACGUAUGAAAAUUAGGCUAAAUAAUAUACUAAAUUGAAAUUGAUCAGACUCCACUUAUUCUACACAAGUAAGUUUGGAAACAUCUAAUUUAAAGAAAAGCACUUUCUCACUAUGGUUUCAGCAGUCAAGAUGAUUGCCUUUCCAACAUCAGUUUUACUUUAAAUAAUUUGUUUAGGUCAGCCAUGCUAAUUUCAUUGUGGUUGGCAUAGGAGUCACUGUGGAUAAAGAGUUGUGACCCAGCCUUAGCCAACGCCACAUAAGAAGCACUGUGCUGGGUACUUCUAGGAGAGUUUCUCUCACUUCUAAGAAGGAGCCUUUGAAGAGAGGUUGCUUCUCUUCUUCAAGGGGAUAUUGUCCCAUUGCAAGGUGAGGUGUGAAAUUGCUGUGGAGUCUCCACCCAGCCUGAGGACGACAUCAAUACACAGAAGAAGAAAAAGGAGAAGAUGAGAGAAAUUCUGCACUCUCAUGGAUGACACCCAGAGUUUACCCUCCCUCUGGACUUCUUGUUAUGGGACUAACACAUUUUUGUGGAUUUUAAACCAAUUUGAAUUACUUUUUUUGCACCUGCCUGUACUCUAAUCCAAACAACCAUCCAAGUUAAUAAUUUUCUCUUUACAAUGCACCCUGCAUUUUGUACCUAUACAAGAGUGGUCAGAAUGUGUGAAAACUGCUGAGUCAUCCUGACAGCAUGGCUCCAGUAGAUUCUAGGGGUCGGCUAUAGUAUUGAGUGAUAUUAAAAUAACAAAUAAUGCACAAAAGGCAUGGAUCUAAAAAAGUCUUUAGGAAUCUUCACUCACUGAGAGCUCAUAUUCAGGACACAGUUUCUUCUUCAAAUCACCUUGGACAAACUUUGAUAUCUGAAGGUGGAAACCAUCCCUUUUCCCUCUGGAGCUGGAGUGAUGUUCACGGAAGGCAAAGCAGCUGGGCCUGAAUGGGGCUAAGCUCUGGGAGCCAUGAGUGUCUCCACAGAAACAGAGCAGGACACCCGGAGGGACCACCCAAAACCUUGGGUCCGUUUGUGAGGCCAUCAGAUCCUCAGCUGGCAUUUGACAAGGAGGAUCAAGGUUGCAACAGCCUAAAGAAGUUUAAUUUCAAGAAAACAGGCUGAAAGAAUGAGAGUUGUGACCAACUCAGUAUACCACUGGAGGCUAUAUGAGCAAACAGAAAACUGUUCUUAUGAAAGCAGGAUGUUGGAAAACUGAUAACUGUGUCUGCCGCCAGAAGGGGUGCUGAGGGCAGUCAGGCCUCAUGCACAGUGUUCCUUGUGAUUAUCUAUAGGAACAUCUGAAGCCUGUUGUACAAAGAAAGCAAUUAUGUGGACCUGUGAUAAAUCAAGCAGUGGACCAACCAUUAGCUCUCCCUCCCUGCUCUUUCUACCUAACAAAUAUGAAAGACUGUAGAAACUCAGGGCUGCCUUUGCUCUCUAGAAGCAAGGAGCCCCUGACCCCCUCUUUCAAAAUAGGUCUUUUCGUCUUUGUCUUUACUUCUGCAUUCGACCCCCUUCAUUGACCCUGUAGAAACUGUCAGUGACAUUCUCUUUUCCCUUGUAUUUUCUAAAUUUUCUAUAAUUUGCAUGUUAUUUUAAUAAUUAGUGAGGGCAUCAAAGAAGUGGAUUUACAAUGGUGCAAACAUUGGCAGUUUCAGUUAGGAACUCAUAUUCCUGUUGGGUCAGAGAUUGAGCCCUGGAGGAAACCUCUGGUCUGAGGGCUACAGGGAAGCUCCUGUUUCAUGCCUAUUCCUGAAAUUAGGCCUGUCCCUCUGAUUUAGGGAAGAUUUAUUCCUCUGUUUGUCUGCAUACUACAGAAACAGCCUGUGAAAGAAUCUGCAGGCAUCACUUACAAUUGUAACUUAGCAUAUUGGAAAUUUCUGUUGAGGACAUCAAUGGCUUUCAUGUCCUCUGGAGUCUACUCAACAAUUUUUCUUCAAAGUCUAAAGGAGAUUUUUUCUUCCAGCAUAAUAUUCCGUGCAGUGCAGAAAGUCUUUUCUUUUGCCUUUUGGUAAAUGGCCUAAGAGAUUUUACAGUUUAUUGAGAGAAUUCCUAUGCCAUUAUCAUUAAGUUUUGGUUUGCUUAGAAUGUAAAAAAAACUGAGAUUAGAACAAAUUUUUAAAAAAGUAAGGUUAUUACAUCUGUAUAUCUUUCUGUAUGUGCUUUUAAAGUCCUUGUGACAUUGAGUUACAGGGCUUUGACUCCUGGAUCUAUAAAGGACACCAAGUCCUGCUACAUCUUAAACACUGACAACAAUUAAAGCCUCAUCUUCAGGCGCAGUAGAAGAUGCCAAUCAAAAUAAAUUGCAUUCCUGAGACAUAGGGCCAGAAAUAAAAGCUAUUCAACUCCUCAAGGCCCCAGGACUAUUGUGGAAGAGGUGGGUGUGUGAGAUUGAAAGGGCCAAUUUUGAGAGACAAAAUAAGUUCAAUUUCUCUGUAAAUUAAUCAUUAAUGUCAAAGGCACACUGAUGCAAGACAAGAAUAUGGCCCCCUGUGACAGAUUAACAAGGUUUUAGUGAAGCAUUAACUGACUCCUUAAUAAAGGUUAUAAAGGUUAUAAAAGGCUUAAGAAAGUUAUAUCCUAUUGUCAAGAUUAAAAGUUCAUAAAUUGUUAAUAAAAUUUUGAAAAACAGAUUUAAU
rnacentral:lncRNA from 1 species